rnacentral:rRNA from 1 species
AUUGAACGCUGGCGGCAGGCCUAACACAUGCAAGUCGAGCGGAUGAAGGGAGCUUGCUCCUGGAUUCAGCGGCGGACGGGUGAGUAAUGCCUAGGAAUCUGCCUGGUAGUGGGGGAUAACGUCCGGAAACGGGCGCUAAUACCGCAUACGUCCUGAGGGAGAAAGUGGGGGAUCUUCGGACCUCACGCUAUCAGAUGAGCCUAGGUCGGAUUAGCUAGUUGUUGGGGUAAAGGCCUACCAAGGCGACGAUCCGUAACUGAUCUGAGAGGAUGAUCAGUCACACUAGAACUGAGACACGGUCCAGACUCCUAAGAGAGGCAGCAGUCGGGAAUAUUGGACAAUGAGCGAAAGCCUGAUCCAGCCAUGCCGCGUGUGUGAAGAAGGUCUUCGGAUUGUAAAACACUUUAAGUUGGGAGGAAGAGCAGUAAGUUAAUACCUUGCUGUUUUGACGUUACCAACAGAAUAAGCACCGGCUAACUUCGUG